AGCUCUUCGGUUCAUGAAUGUGAUGAUUGGAUUUUCAUGCUGUGUGCAUGGAUGUGCCUUCCUCUAAUCUUGUUACUGUGUUGGCACAGUACCCACCUGGCA